CCUGUCCCCGUGCAGAACGCAGCCUGAAACGGAGCCAGCCCCGGAAGUUCGGGUCCGCAGAGGGGAGGGAAGGCAAGUUGGAAGCAUAUUCAGUCCAUGUUCAUAGUUGGGUCCACCCGUGGACGUCCCAGCCAGGACAGCCUUCGUCUUCCUUUCUGGCUGAGAUCGCCUGUGUUGGCCUUUCUGCCCCUUUCAGCUCAGGUCCUGGCUGACUAGCCUGCUGUCCUCUGGCUGGUGGAACUGGGGAGACGUCCAGAGGCCUCCUCCCCCGGAGGACCCUAAGGGGCACAGCCUGCCCCCACCCCCACCGUAAGAUUAGAAAAGGAUGCCGGCUCAGGGCUCACACGGCGACACGCAUGGACAGUGGUGCCCCGACUCGGUUUCAGCCCCGUCGCUCCUCUUGGGGCUCUUGCGCCGGGAACAGCAUGGACAGAGGCCUUGAGGAGAGCCUAGGCCUGGUGCACGUGCCUUGGACAGAAGCCUCUUGCUGGGGACCCUGCUAGGAGUGUCGCUGGUCCUCUGAUUUCCUGUCCCGUGGAUUCAAUGACAACCAAUUCAAGCUCACACCCCUCUCUCACGACCUCUCUCAUGUGUAAGAAGAUGGCAAGGCCAUAGGAGAUGGCCCAGAAACCAGAGAGAUGGUCCCUGAGUCACAGUAUGGGGGAAAGCGGCCAACUGUCUCACUGUGGAUUAUUGGCCAUUCAACCGGAGAGUGUGUGUGCGAGUGUUUGCUCAGCUGGGGUUCCAGGCCAGUGCUUCGAGAGGCUGGGGGAAGAGUCCUUGUCGUCCGGAUUCAGCGCUGGCCGGUGGCAGCGGACGGGAGGCCUCAUGCUGGCUAUGGGUUGUGGGAUGGAGGGAGACUGUUUUUGAGAUGCCCCCGGUCCCAGAAGUGGAGAUCUUUGCAGGAUAAAUGAAGAGACUUGGAUUAGAAGUCAGGCUCCAUGCCGGGGUGGCUCAGUUUGGUGAAGCGUCUGCCUUGGGCUCAGGUCAUGAUCCCCAGGGUCCUGGGAUUGAGUCUCCCAUCUAGCCCUUUGCUCAACCUGUUUUCUCUCUCUGCCCUCCCCCUGCUUGUGCUCUCUCUCAAAAAUAAAUAAAAUCUUAA